GGCACAGUAUCUCUUGUCCUCCUGGGUUUUAAGCAGCUGCAACAGGAGGAGGAACUGCGGCUUGUGUUUACAAGGCCGAAAUCUGAAGAAAAAGCUUCCAUUCUUUUCCCAUCUUGAUAUGGAGGGUUCUCCAGAGGAAAAUAAGGAAAUGAGAUAUUACAUGCUUCAAAGUCCAGCAUGUCUGGCUUGCACCUAGUAAAGCAGGGCCGAGACAGAAAGAAAAUAGAUUCUCAACGAGAUUUCACUGUGGCUUCUCCAGCAGAAUUUGUUACUCGCUUUG
rnacentral:lncRNA from 1 species